UUAGGACCGCUGAAAAGGAAAGGCUGCAAUCACCCAGGAUUGUCCAAAACACAGAAUGAAGAAUGAGAGCGCUCUAGCAGAGUUCAUGUGCAGAGUUCAUGGAGGAGAGAACAGGCCAUCAGAUCCUUGGAGUUAGAGAAUCAACCCCAGGUGCUCUGCAAGAGCAUUUGAAUUUGUCUCAGCAGAUUUUCACCUGGCUGAGACUGUAAGCUGAGAUCGGAACUUGCUGGAAGCUGACACGAUUGCUCUCUGCCUCUUCAGAUGGAUCAACUAACCAGAUGUUUCUGAGGACUGCCCCCACUGCCCCACUUUAGUUGACAUUUUAGCCUUCCUAGCCCCUGAUGUCAACGGUCCUACUGUCAGUGCUGAAGCAAUUUCAGAAGACAAGACCACCGGCCCAAAAUCCCACCUACAGGCUGAAAUGCUAGGUCAAAGGGGGCUCCCUGACAUUAGCUAUUAUUUUGGGGACCUGCUUAACUGGAGAUAUAUUAGGCAAAGACUAGGGACUAUACAGUUAAUGAUAAUGAGAGCCCAGUACCACCAGCUUGGAGAUGACCUUGAACUGUGAGAGCCCAAGAUUGGCCUCUUCAGGUACAUGAAAAGGAGGAAAAGAAGAGUUUAAGUUAGCCUGGGUAUAGUUGGACUGAGUAAAGAGCCAUCUUGACUGGGAGCUGAAAUAUCACAGAAUGUACACUUGGCAGAGAAAAAAGUUAACUCUCCUAGCUACAGCCUCCAGGAAAUAAUACAGAAUAAAUGCUUCAUAGAAAAUAGAGACAAUCUCCCUGGCAAUAAUCAAUAAGAAUCGGUUGGGAAUCGGGUGGGAAAAUUCUCCCCAAUGUUUCAGAUAUGGUUUAGAAAAAUAGCCAUUGUGAUUAUAUGCCUUAGCCAUUGUGAUUGUGUGCCUCAGAAAUGGUCACCCCGCCCUGCUAAACUUCACCCAAUUCUGUAAUGCCAAGGCUUGUGCCCCCGCUGCUUGUUGCCAUGGAAACCCCCUGCUCACAGACUUUCCCUUUAAAAAUCUUGUUCACUCAGAGUUCGGAGUCCCACUUCUCUACUGCUUUGUCAGGGAGACUUGGGUCCCGAGUUCGAUUGCUCUUGUAAUAAAGCUCUCUUGCUAUUGCAUCAAGUCUUCUCCUGGUGGUCUCUGAGGGUCCCGUGAACCUGGCAUUACA